ensembl:lncRNA
UCUUGAGCCGGGGCGUUACAGCUGAGGUGAGGUGUUGUAGAGGUCAGAGGUCGUAGGUGAGGUGAGGUGAGGUGUUGUAGAGGUCAGAGGUCGUAGGUGUGGUGAGGUGAGGUGAGGUCAGAGGUCGUAGGUGAGGUGAGGUGAGGUGUGGUGAGGUGAGGUGAGGUGAGGUCAGAGGUCGUAGGUGAGGUGAGGUGAGGUGUGGUGAGGUGAGGUGAGGUGAGGUGAGGUGAGGUGAGGUGAGGUGUUGUAGAGGUCAGAGGUCGUAGGUGAGGAGAGGUGAGGUGAGGUGAGAUGAGGUGAGAGGUCAGAGGUCGUGAGGUGAGAGGUCAGAGGUUGUGAGGUGAGGUGAGGUGAGGUAGAGUAGUUGAGUACGGUGAAGGACCAUGAGAGUAGAAUUUGUGUGUGUGUGUGAGAGAGUAUGUAAGUGUGUGUGUGUGUGAGAGAGAGAGUAUGUAAGUGUGUGUGUGUGAGUGUGUGUGUGUGUGUGUGUGUGGGUGUGUCAGAGUUAGUCCAGGCAAAA